rnacentral:lncRNA from 1 species
GUUCAGUUGUUUCUCAGCGUCGUCACGGUGCACAUGUGUCCUAUAAUCCUGAUAGUUCAACCUUGAGGGAUGACGAAAAUUUAAUCAGCAGAAUCAUCACGACCGUCCGCUCAACAACCGUCGAUGAUGGCGUCGACAUUUCUAGAACAUCAUAGAUCAUCAUUCAUCCCAAUCAACGCAACACCUGGUCUGAUAACUUUAAUUCUAAAAGGAAAUUUGGUGAAUGUCGAAAGUUAAACUGAAUGAAAUACAGCAGGGGCAGACUCAGCUCAGUCAACAAAACCAAACGCCUAGUUUAGCUCUAGUAACGAAAAAGGCUGUGGAAUUUCUCAAGUUGUUGUCUUGACUAGACCUUUUAUCGCCAAAUAAUAUUCGGUCCGAAUAACCUUCCCUUUGCCAGCAGUUGCUGGACUGGUAGUAUAUAUUUGAGCAACGCAGCAACACACGGACAAAAACAGGUACUCAACUUUAUCGAACAAGUAGCUGAAGAGUCCUCGUCCAUUGGCUGAUGGCUCCAACCUGUUCUCCGUGACUCGCACCAUUUCGUAUCUGUGGAGGGAGCAAGGAUGACGAGAUAAUCGAGGAGGACACCUCCCUUGAGUGGUCCUGACAAUCCUUUGGGAUUCCCACUCCAAAGGGUCUGGAAUGAAUAGCCAUAGAUGACACGAAGGUGACGACCACUUAGCGAAUCUGGCGUUGAUGUCGACGAUAAAUUGCAGGUUGAAAUUAUGACCAACCAAACAAGAAAAGGUUAUCAUCUUGAUGGAAUAACCUGGGCUGACCCGGCUGCCUUGGUAACAAAUCAUGUUCGGCUUUUCUUGUGUCAGUUGCUGUCAUUUGCCGAAUCGAUGAUCACCAUAGCACCGCAGACAAAGGAAAUUUGAGCUAGUCAAACGGAGAAUCAAAAGGCAUACUCAACUUUAUCAAACAAGUAACUGAAGAGUCCUCGUCCAUUGGCUGGUGGCUCCAACCUGUUCUCCGUAACUUGGACCAUUUCGUACCUGUGUAAGGAUGAUGAGGUAGUCGAGGACGACACCUCCCUUGAGUGGCCCAGACAAUCCUCUGGGGUUGCCACUCCAAAGCGGCUGAAAUGGAUCAAAGAUGACACGAAGGUGGUGACCACUGAUAGAAUUCAGCGAGGAUGACGACGAGAAACCACAGGGCGAAAUGGUGACAAACGACAGAAAGUAAUAAGUUGCUGUCAUUUGCCGAAUCGAUGAUCACCAUAGCACCGCAGACAAAGGGACUAUUUUUCGGGAGCGCAAAGGUGACAAACGAUGGGAAUAAGCCGUCUUUCGUCAUCUGCAAAUUGCAUUUUCCAGUUCUUUUGAAAUCUGCGUUGAUUGCGUCUUUGAGGAGGAAAUGGUGGUGAGACUCAACUUGAUCCCACAAGUAGCUGAAGAGGCCUCGUCCAUUCGCCGGCGGCUCUAAUCUGUUCUCCGUGACUCUUACCAUUUCGUACCUGUGGCAGAUGCCAGGAUAAUACGAUAGGAAAUCGAGGACGACACCUCCCUUGAGUGGCCCCGACAAUCCUUUGGGGUUGCCACUCCAAAGCGGCUGAAAUAAAUUAAAGAUGACACGAAGGUGGCGACCACUGAGAGAAUUCAGCGAGGAUGUCGACGUAAACCCACAAGUCAAAAUAACGGCCAUCAGGAAGAAAGAUGGACAUAAAUGGUCCAAACGGAAUUGCCGAGUCAUAGUUUGGCAAUAUCAAUUCAUAAGAAAACCUUCUUAUCGACGUGGGAGAAUAUUUCCUUGGCCAUCAAUUAUUCGGCGUUUCAUUUUCUAUGGGUUGCCUCGACCCUUCAAGUUGAAAAUAGUCCUCGGGUCAAAAAACUUUUCGGGCGCCAGCGGUUGGGGAAGAACGGACGAA